rnacentral:rRNA from 1 species
AUUGAACGCUGGCGUUUGGCCUAACACAUGCAAGUCGAGCGAGCGGCGGACGGGUGAGUAAUGUAUGGGGUCUGUCCGAUAGUGGGGGAUAACUACUGGAAACGGUGGCUAAUACCGCAUACUAUCGGAUAACCCAUAUGGGAUUAGCUAGUAGGUGGGGUAAAGGGUCACCUAGGCGACGAUCUCUAGCGGGUCUGAGAGGAGGAUCAGCCACACUGGGACUGAGACACGGGCCAGAGUCCGACGGGGGCAGCAGUGGGGAAUAUUGCACAAUGGGCGAAAGACUAAUGCAGCCAUGCCGGGUGGAUGAAGAAGGCCUUAGGGUUGUAAAAUACUUUCGGCGGGGAGGCGUACCACGCUGAAGAAGCACCGGCUAACUCCGUGCCAGCAGCCGCGGUAAUAC